GUUUUAUACGUGGGAGGUGGGUGUUUAAAUUCAAGCGAGGAAUUGAGGAAGUUUGUUGAGUUAACUGGGAUCCCAGUGGCUAGUACUUUGAUGGGGCUUGGAGCAUUCCCAGUUGGCCAUGAAUUAUCAUUGCAAAUGCUUGGAAUGCAUGGAACUGUUUAUGCUAACUAUUCAGUGGAUAAGAGUGAUUUGUUGCUUGCAUUUGGGGUAAGGUUUGAUGACAGGGUAACAGGCAAGCUUGAGGCUUUUGCAAGCAGAGCUAAGAUUGUUCAUAUUGAUAUUGACUCCGCUGAGAUUGGGAAGAAUAAGCAGCCCCAUGUGUCUGUUUGUGCAGAUGUGAAUUUUGCGUUACAAGGUAUGAACAAGAUUUUGGAGAGCAGAAAUGCUAAGAGUAAGCUAGAUUUUAGGGCUUGGAGAGAGGAGUUGAAUGAGCAAAAGAGUAAAUAUCCAUUGAAAUAUAAGACUUUUGGACAUGCAAUUCCUCCUCAGUACGCCAUACAAGUUCUUGAUGAGUUAACAAAUGGGAAUGCCAUUAUAAGUACUGGCGUUGGGCAACAUCAGAUGUGGGCUGCUCAAUUUUACAAGUACAAGAGACCACGGCAAUGGUUGACAUCAGGGGGAUUAGGGGCUAUGGGUUUUGGAUUGCCUGCUGCUGUUGGGGCUGCUGUUGCUAAUCCUGGUGCAGUAGUUGUAGAUAUUGAUGGUGAUGGAAGUUUUAUCAUGAAUGUCCAGGAGUUGGCAACUAUUCGUGUGGAGAAUUUGCCCAUCAAAAUAAUGCUUCUGAAUAAUCAGCAUUUAGGAAUGGUGAUGCAAUGGGAGGACCGAUUCUACAAGGCUAAUAGAGCUCAUACUUAUUUGGGGGAUCCAUCAAGAGAAUCUGAGAUUUUCCCCAAUAUGUUGAAGUUUGCUGAAGCUUG
rnacentral:misc_RNA from 1 species